GACGAACGCUGGCGGCGUGCUUAACACAUGCAAGUCGAACGGAAAGGCCCUGCUUUUGUGGGGUGCUCGAGUGGCGAACGGGCGAGUAACACGUGAGUAACCUGCCCUUGACUUUGGGAUAACUUCAGGAAACUGGGGCUAAUACCGGAUAGGAGCUCCUGCUGCAUGGUGGUGGUUGGAAAGUUUCGGCGGUUGGGGAUGGACUCGCGGCUUAUCGGCUUGUUGGUGGGGUAGUGGCUUACCAAGGCUUUGACGGGUAGGCCGCCUGAGAGGUGUGACGGGGACAAUAGGACUAAGGGACGGAGCAGUCUGGAAUGGGACGCAGUGGGGGAGAGUAUGGCGGAGUGGGGGGAAGUGUGAUGCAGAAACGCCGCGAGCGGGAUGACGGCCUUCGAGUGAUAAACAGAUGUCGAAUGUAACGAAGAGUGAGUGACGGUAACGGGUAAAGAAGCACCGGCUAACUACGUG
rnacentral:rRNA from 1 species